UCAAUGCGUAACCUUUUGUGUUUCAGCUACUACCUCUAAGUAACAGCUAACGAUUCAGAGUCAACCAAUCUACUAUGAAAACAAAACAUUGUCAUUACCCCCACUUCGGGACGUGUGCCUCGUAGUCCCAAUAUUCGCGGCUCUUUAAGCUAUUCACUUCAGCGUAGACCCGGGAUUUACUGCCGGCGGCCGGGCCCGGCAUGGCGGCCAGAGGGGGCUCGGGUAGGGCCACGAGUGGGGCCAGCGGAACCGAGCCUCCACUGACAGCAGAGCGGGGCGGCGACAGGGGACUAGAGGGCGGCCCCGCUGUGCGCCCGCAACCGUCUAGUAACUCGGGCAGUGCCCGGCACUUGAAGCGCAGCCGCGGCGUAAACUGCAGUGCGGGGCGGAGGAGCUGGGACAGGCUGCGCGGGAGGAGGAGCUCGCACAACGGAAGAGCCAGGAUAGGCCCAAGCGCCGAACUCGCAGUGGCUGUAAAGCCGGCGAAUCAGAAACCACUACUGAGAAUAUGGUUACUGGUAGAAUAUAGUGAAAGGGGAGGGAACGGCGUCUCCGGGGACUAUAUGGGUGGAGAAUUGCUGCUAAUAGGAUCUUAGCAACUCUGAAUAAGUAGACAUCCAACCGCAAAUCUUCCAAAUGAGGAUGUGGCAGUUCUUGCUCCUUGUAGUCCAGAGUACUCUCGCGCCAAGAGGUGACAUAAACAGUAAUGCGUUCGGAACCGUCUAGUAUGUAACCUAAGCCCGGAUGCGGUGGUAUUAGUAAAUCCAAAUUCUUCCAUUAACUCUGGUUCAUACUGGUGCCAGGAAGUACAAUGUACUGGUUUAUCUGGAGGUAAAACGCCAGGAAGUUAUGGUUGCUAUGCACACGCUGGGUGUUUUAGAACUAGAAGAUCCGGCGGACUCUCAUCAGAUGUAUUUUGGUUGAAGGGAGUAUAAUUUUGUAUUUGUUACCGGAACCCGGAAAUUUGAACCAAGUCGCUGGUAGGAGGAGCUGGCUAUGGCUUUCAGAAGGAGCUGUGUCGUAAUCAAAACAGGAAGAAGUUGCUCACAGUUUAGAAACAACAGCUUUGAUUGGUCUCUCUCUCACUCUGUCUCUCUCUUUCUCAGAAUUCAGAUGAGUUUGGAAUAGGUGUAGUAGUUAAGACUUGGGACGUGAUGCUUUGGUAUUCUUUGUGUCCCAAAUACAUUUUGUAUAGUAAAUAAACUUUCUACUCUACUGGGCAAGAUA